rnacentral:rRNA from 1 species
GGAGCUAAUACCGGAUAAUAUUUUGAACCGCAUGGUUCAAAAGUGAAAGACGGUCUUGCUGUCACUUAUAGAUGGAUCCGCGCUGCAUUAGCUAGUUGGUAAGGUAACGGCUUACCAAGGCAACGAUGCAUAGCCGACCUGAGAGGGUGAUCGGCCACACUGGAACUGAGACACGGUCCAGACUCCUACGGGAGGCAGCAGCG